rnacentral:lncRNA from 1 species
UAAUAAUAAUAAUAAUAAUAAUAAUAAUAGAAGAAGAAGAAGAAGAAGAAGAAGUUAGAGUUUCCAAUGCAGGAUCUGUUGGCCUUGAAUAUUUUCAAAAGACAUAGAGAUGCAAGGAUGUGUAAACAGAAGGUUUACCAUUGAAUUUGCCCUGUAUGGUUUUAGAUUGUUUUCCCUGACCCAAAUAAGGAAUUAAGGCAGUUUACUCCCUAUAUAUAAACAUUGAAAAACAUUGCAGGUCCAAAAAAAAAUGGGGGCCCCUGAUCUUGCCAAGGUCCUGCAUGGUCUGGAGGUCCCCCACCAUCUUUCCUGUUGCAUUGCC